AACGGACGCUGGCGGCAGGCCUAACACAUGCAAGUCGAGCGAUGCCUUCGGGCUUAGCGGCGGACGGGUGAGUAACGCGUGGGAACGUGCCCUUUGCUACGGAAUAGCCCCGGGAAACUGGGAGUAAUACCGUAUGUGCCCUUCGGGGGAAAGAUUUAUCGGCAAAGGAUCGGCCCGCGUUGGAUUAGGUAGUUGGUGGGGUAAUGGCCUACCAAGCCGACGAUCCAUAGCUGGUUUGAGAGGAUGAUCAGCCACACUGGGACUGAGACACGGCCCAGACUCCUACGGGAGGCAGCAGUGGGGAAUCUUAGACAAUGGGGGAAACCCUGAUCUAGCCAUGCCGCGUGAUCGAUGAAGGCCUUAGGGUUGUAAAGAUCUUUCAGUGGGGAAGAUAAUGACUGUACCCACAGAAGAAGCCCCGGCUAACUCCGUGCCAGCAGCCGCCGUAAAAC
rnacentral:rRNA from 1 species